AUGGACAGACCCGGCUCUCCCCACCCUGACCACGAGGGAGUUUCCAGCAAGGCUGCCUCCGGUCAAGAGCCCAGGACGCUGGAAUCAGGCCACAUCUGGUCUGUCCUUGCAGGAGGCUGGGCUGCACUUCAGGAAGCUCCUGGUUUAAGGCCCUGGACCCUGACCACCACAUGGCCAGAGAAAUUGUCGCCCAUCCCUGCUCUGCAGAGUCCGGACCUGCCCCUUCUCUUUCAGCCCUGCUGUCCCGUGAGUUUCUUCAGUACCUCAGCGAGAUGGGAAAGGGCCAAGCCUGCCAGGACCAAGACCAAGGCAGGUGAAGACGGGUCAUACUUUCAUGCUGACAAAGGCUCGCACAAGAACAAGGUGCUCCCGCCCCCAGCCAAGGCCUCCUGAUACACUCAGGGUAAGUUAGAUCUCACACACACCCUGGCAAGGAUUGGGAUAGGCCCAGAUCUCAGAGUUCAUUGAAUGUUUAUUACAUUUUAGAUCAAACUGAGUUAAAAUCAAGAGGCAUGAUUGAGCGUUUUCUAUGGCCAAGGGAAAUGAGAAUCCAAGAGCUAAACUGAAUUUAGUUAUAGUACUUUGUCCUGUAAAUUUUAAACCUCUGCAAAACUCUUUACAGUACAUUUUCAUCAUAUAAGGAAUGGCUUCUCUAUAGCUUUUCUUUUUCAGAAAUGAUUUGACUGCUGACUUUUUCACUCCAUCUGAUAAACUCUGAAUCACUUUGUCACAUUUCCCAAAAGCCCCUGGGAAGUUUCAAUGACUAUAUAAAAACCUAUAUAGUAAUCUGGGGGGAAAAUAAAACACAUUUUUCUUAACCUGUUAUAAUUUCA
rnacentral:lncRNA from 1 species